GGAAUAUUGGGCAAUGGGCGAAAGCCUGACCCAGCGACGCCGCGUGAGGGAAGAAGGUCUUCGGAUUGUAAACCUCUGUUGACAGGGAAGAAACAAAUGACGUAACCUGUCGAGGAAGCCACGGCUAACUACGUGCCAGCAGCCGCGGUAAUACGUAGGUGGCGAGCGUUAUCCGGAUUUACUGGGUGUAAAGGGUGUGUAGGCGGGUCGGCAAGUCGGAUGUGAAAAUCAAGGGCUCAACUCUUGACCUGCGUCCGAAACUGUCGGUCUUGAGUGCCGGAGGGGUAAACGGAAUUCCCGGUGUAGCGGUGAAAUGCGUAGAUAUCGGGAGGAACAUCGGCGGCGAAGGCGGUUUACUGGACGGCAACUGACGCUGAGACACGAAAGCGUGGGGAGCAAACA
rnacentral:rRNA from 1 species